rnacentral:lncRNA from 1 species
GGGGAAGUGACCUGACCUUAGUCUACAGAACAAACCAUUCUUGGAACCCAAGGAGAUUCAAGACAUACUGGAAGGAACAAGCCCAGAGUGAUGGGAGACUGUUGUAAUCCGUGACCUCUUCUAAGAUACCCGGAACUUUCCUUUGUUGUCCAGACCUUGUACGAACACUCUGCAAGUCAGGCACUUCU